ACUUUGAAAUCCAACGCGCCCUUGUGACGUCAUAACUGAUCUGGGGGGCAAUGUGACGCACGCGCAUUCAGCUGUGAAGUAUGUAACUCGGCCCUUUUCGGGUGACUCCCGCUGGCGGGUGGUUUUCCACUUUGAAGUUGUACGCAGGAUAGAUGGCUCGCGUUCUUGAAGGAGAGGCACUUCUUGGCUAUACUCAGUCAUCGUUACCCACUUCUGAAGUAAAUAAUUGGCUCAAAAUAGCGUGCAUUGUUUAAAAAAAUACAAGACGCUAAAUUCUCCCAAAGAUUCUUAAUAUUUAAUCACUACAGGAUAGGAAACACAUAUACUGAAACCAGAGGUCUACACCACAUAAAACUACAAAUAUCCUUACUCUCGUGGUAUGAGACUGACGAGAGAAAGAUUUUUUUUUUUUUUUUUUUUCAAAUAUAGAAGUUUACACUCAUUUCGUCAGUAACACAGUCCCGUUGUCUUUAAACUGUUUGACUUGGGCCAAACGUUUUUGGAUGUCCUCUCUCGCAGCUCCCAAUUUGGCCCAUUUCUCCUGUCCUGGCUGAAUUGCUGUUACAAGGGGCCCGGUUGAUUCAUUUUCCAAAGCUUAAAACACGGUCGACGAACUGUCUACGAUGGAUUCAAGGCUCGCGGAAGACUGUACGUGCAACUAAAUAUGGACGAUAUCAACAAACACAAGGCUGUAUGUUCGAAGACUGGCUUCUUCAGUUGAUGUGGUCGUCGACACGCACGCUCUGACCACCUUCAGCCAGCAUCUCCAUAAGAUCUCCUGCUCUUUUUGGGUCGAUAUGCACAUUUCGGGGCUUUCGGUGUAUCGGAAGAAGCCUGCCACUAAACUCGACAAGCGGAGGGUUGUGGGUGAGCUAGAGGCGGGGGUCCGCCCUCAACUGGUCGCCAUGGCAACCGCACCCUACAGGCGCAAGGGGGCACUCGAGCGGAAAAGGUAAGACUGAGACCGGUGGAAUAUAUGUGCAGAGGAAGUGACUUUUACCGACCCUGUUAACGCUGCGCUAGCGUCAGCGCUGUGCUAGCGUGUUGCUGCUGUGUUACUGGCGUGAUAUUUACCGUGACGUCAUGAUGAACCCUGUAGCCGGUGGAGUUGCCGUGCGGGUCGUGACCUUUGCCCGGGCCUUUUCCCUGCCCGUGGCUGGUGUAGUAGCGGAUGAAGCGGGAGCGACGCACCAGCAGCUUGGUGAAGAUCCGAGACAAGGAGAUGAUGACGCCGGCAGUGCCUGGACGAGGGAGAACGAUGUUUAGUGAUCCUGGUGUGCAUGCUGAGCCUCUCCACCAGCACGUUGUUGAGGAGGACGGCCAAAAGGGCCACCAGGAUGUACGUCAGACUCAUGUCAAACACGAUGGACGUCCCUGGAACACGCGAGAGUCCGAUAGUCACGUACCAGGCUCAGACAGCGCCAGAACUCCUCUCUCUGGGACGUCUUUGCUGAUCUCUUCCUCCUCAAGCUGGUAGGAGUCAAAACUGUAGCUCUGCACCACUCCGCUCUCCCGUCCGUCCCUCCAUC